rnacentral:lncRNA from 1 species
AGAUUCUGAAGGCCUGAGGACUUGGCACAAAAUGAGGAGGCAGAGGCUGUUGACACAAACUUACAGACUGGGACUCCAAGGAUCAGCCAGAUGAAAUGCUAUGUCCAGAGUCUUCAUUUCCCAGCUCAGUGGUGGACAGCAGAGGACUCUAAGACUCACCUCCCAAAUAAACUACCUUGACAUGCCCUGACCCAGGCUCUUUAUUUGGAAACCCAGGCUAGGACAGGAAUGAAGAGAAGCCAGACCUUCUGACUCGAAGAUCCAGCCACCUCUUGGGAUGCACACGUUUCUCUUCAACUGCGUGAUGUGAACUGCGUCACAUGGUCAAAUUAUAAUGAAGAAAGGACCCUCUCUUGAGUACAAAGUGCUACCUAUGGUGGUCUGGAGCUGGAGGACCACAGCAUCAAAGGAUAUAAGAUGCAUAGCCAACUGGGGAACCUGAGCAAUUAAAGAGAUCCACAGUUAAGUCUCACACUUAACUGGCACUUGUGGAAGCCCUGCAAGGCCUGAAGGAGAGCUGACAUAGGCACCCCAGAGAGCCAGAAUCUGGAUCCCAUCUUAAUAAGGCCAUGAAGACCAGUGGAGAAGAGGCAGAAACACCAAUAGAUAAGGAACAUUCACAUCUUUCUUCCCACAUGCCUCUAAGUGCCAGUGCAGGCCCCACAGGCCAAGCUGCAGGGAGAAACGAGAUGAUGCAAAGGAACCUAAGUGGACUUUAAUCACUAGAAGUGAGAAG